rnacentral:rRNA from 1 species
GACAGAGGGGGCAAGCGUUGCUCGGAAUUACUGGGCGUAAAGGGCGCGUAGGCGGGAUGGCAAGUCGGUCGUGAAAUCCCUCGGCUCAACCGAGGAACGUCGAUCGAUACUGCUGUUCUUGAGGAUUGCAGAGGAGACUGGAAUUCCCGGUGUAGCGGUGAAAUGUGUAGAGAUCGGGGAGGAACACCGGUGGCGAAGGCGGGUCUCUGGGCAGUAACUGACGCUGAGGAGCGAAAGCGUGGGGAGCGAACAGG